CUGCAUCCAUGUUCCACCGUUUCUCUUAGGACAGGGGGAAGCAGCCUAAGCAGGGAAACCCAGAUUUCCUUCACCUCGGCCACUUUGUCCACUUCACCCUGGCGGAUCCUGAGGCGUUUCCGGGCCCUCCAACGUGUCCUGGGUCUUCGCGAGGUCCCCUACUGUCCUCCCACCCUGAACACCUCCCCAGAGCGGCGUCCAGGCUGCGGUUCCUCAGGACCAGCUUUUACCUUCCUGCGUCUGGGGGCUCCUCCAUGAGAAGCAAACACAUUAGCCACCCCGAUUGCCAUCUUGACGAGAGCAAGGAGGUGACGGAGAGGAGGAGUUCUACGCGAGCAGUGACUGAUAGAAACCGGAAGUGGAUGGGGAAUUAGAUUAACGUGACACACCUGUGCCUCCAGGCUGCUGCAAGAAAUCGCCAAUUUAUCCUUGGGUGUGUUUGGACGCUGUUAUGUCUGCAUUUGAAUCUUCCGCCAACGAAGCCGAUGUCUUUAUCUGUCUGAGAUUGGCGGCCAAAAGUGACAGAUAAACGAAGCGAGCAUCGGAUGGCAGAGGUAGACGAGAUGAGGGCUAAGAGACUGGAAAGUUGGAGACGGCGAUGGCGUGGAGGAAGCCUGACAGCCCCUCAGGAGAACAGGCAGGCCAUUGAGGGAACGAGGAGGACGUCUCGCUCAUGAUGAGAUGUGUGGUGAAGCGAGCAUCACUGAUGACACUCUGGUAAAGAGGGAUGCGGCGGAUGAGACGAGGACGCCGGCCUAUUCUGGCUCGGACGUACAAAAGCAAAGCAUUUCCAUCAAUCCCAGACACACCUGCAGAUGUUACGCAACACUCUCCACCUGCCUCCGCGUGUCUGCCAAAUGGAUCUGUGUGAGUAGAUGAGUUUGGGAUGAAUUCAUCUCGGAUGGAUGAGGAACAGCUCCCAUAUGUUGGCCCUGCUGGGAUGCUGAGAGACGGAUACUUAUUUCCCCCGAGGUGGCGGUUGGUGGAACUAAAUGGAGUGGAGAUAGGGGACAUUUAUCUGUGGAGACGACUGAGGACACACACACACGCACACACACACACACACACACACACACACGGCAAGCAGCAGUUCAUAUCCUUAUCGUGACCCAUUUCUCCUUACGUUACCUGGUGUUAUGAAAGCUUCUUAUCGUCCGCGCACCAAGACGAGGUCAUCUAUACGGAGGAAGAUUAGCUGGAGUUCAGACCAACGGGAGCAGAACAAAGCAGCAGACAAUGUUCCAGCAGAAAAACAUCAAAUUGGAUGGCGCACAUCUUUUCCGUCCUUCUGAUUCGCCAUCGCUUUUACGUACAUUAGUGUCGGCUUUGAGCGUUCACACAAAGACAUCGUAUGAUGUUUGCUGUGGACGUGAAGAAUAACUGCAAGUGUGUACGUAGCCACGGGGAGACUAAACAAAAGCUAAGUUUGUCAUAUACGAACAUAUUAUGCUUCGACUUCAGCUAACAAGACAGGAAAUUAAAUGUACCAGGGCCAAGACGGGCAAAAACAAAUGAGUGACUUUUGUUAGUAAUCCCUUCUGAAAAGAAAACCAAAAUGUAUGACAACUGGAGCACAUUUUGGGGAGUGGGGGGGUGGUAUAUUUGUUGGAAGGGGAAUCCCACCCCAGAAGGAAUUAACAUCUUUGAUCCGUUUUGUUCGACUUCCC